AUGACUUAUUUUUUUUAUUUUUCUUCAAUUUUUAUGCGUUAAAUUAGAAGUACAAGUGCUUAAAAGCAAAUGGUACAGCUACUUCACAACAUAGAUUGAAUAUUUUCAUUUUCCAUGAGUAAGUGAAUCUUUUAAAGUGACAUAUCACUGGUGGUAGAAAAGUCAUAUCCUUUUCAUUAAGGGUGGGCAAAAUAUUCGACCCGAUAAAAAAAAAAUCGGGUUCGGAUCAAAUCGAAUUAAAGGCUAUAUCUGAUCGGAUGCAAUAUUGUCAACCCGAUCAGAUUGUGAUCGGAUCAGGUUUCAUCCGAUCCAAUCUGAAAACUCGAUCGGAUUGGCUAAAAAAAAAAGGUGAAACACACACACACAUAAAUCACAAUUCAAAUAGACACACCCAACAUCAUCCACACAUGUACACUCUACAGCACACACCACACCACCCACACAACAGUUGCAACCUUCCUCACUGGCUCACCUUCAACCUUAAGUCAACACUCAACACUUAACAGCAGAGCUAAACACACACACUAACACGGUCGACAGUACCCAACGACAGCUACGACCUCCUCCAUCAACUUAUCAUGUCACUUUCAAGAAGACAAGAAAGAAAAAAUAGUGACACACAAAUCACAAUUCACACAAACACACACCACACCGUCCACACAUGUGUACACUAUACAGCACACACCACACCACCUAAACAACAGCUGCAACCUCCUUCACUGGCUCACCCUCAACUUCAAGUCAGCACUCAACACUUAACAGCAGAGCAAAACACACACAUUCACACAUCCAACAGUACCCAACCACAGCCACGACCUCCUCCCUUAACUUUUCAUCUCACUCCCAAGAAGACAAGAAAGAAGAAACAGUGACACACACAGACACAGCAAGAAAGCGGUAGCCAACCACCAAACGCAACAACCCAACCAGAUCUACUACCACCACCUACUGAAUCUGCUGAUCCAUGCCUCCACCAUCACCAAGCUCCUCCUUCAAGCUCCAUCUGAACCCUGCAAACGGCAACCCGAAUUUCCGUUUUGAAGCUUUGAGUUCGAGCCUUCGAUUAUGGUAUAUACCACCGCCAUUUGAUAGUUAUAUUGUGUAUUGUGUAAUAUAUAUUAUAUGUUAUUAUAUUAAAUUGUUAAUUAGUAAUUAUUAUAUUUCACCCAACCUGAAUUGACCUGAACUAAAUUCGAACCUAUCUAAUCUGAAUUUGAUUCGAACCGAACUCAACCCAAUUUCUUGGUCCGACUGGAUCGAGUUAAUUAGUAAUUAAUUCAAAUUGGAUUAGAUUGUGUUAUAUGUUCAGAUUGAGUUCAAAUGAAUUUUAAUCCAACUCGACCAACCCAAAACUUGAUCCAGUUGAUCCGAACUCAAUUUAGCCCAGUUCUACUUCUCAUGGAGAACAUUUUUAUUAAUAAUAAUUAAAGAAUGAUACAAGUAUAGUUUAAAUGCACUUUUAUACUUAAAUCCAAAAUAAUGCAAAUUUAUUAAAAUAAGUUAACUUAAGUGAUUUUACAUAAUACAAUUUUCUUACUUCAAGAAAUUUAAAAACAACUUCCCAAGAGAAUAUAGAAAUCCAUCAAAUUUUUUGAAUAUUAUAAAUGAAUUCAAGCACUAAAUAACAGAAUUUACCAACAAGUCUAUUAAGAUUUCUGUUUCUAUUAACGAGAGCUUUGGAACGACAUACUAUAUGUCUAAAUAUGAUAUUAUUUGUCCCAUCUAGACUCGUCAAAAGAUAUCUUGUUUACUUAAUUACACUUUGAAGGUAAAAUGGUCAUUUUAUAUUAAUUCCCUUAAAGAUUAUAAUAUUUCUAAUAGUAAAAUAAAUGAGCUAUACACUUUGUAAAUUUUGUUGGGCAGCUAAAUAGAUUAAAAGUUUUUGUCUGAGGGCACAGAUGAGUCCCAACCCUUAUGUUGGGACUUUAAUUUAUCUUCUCAAUUACAUAACUAAUAGAAAUAGACAUCUCCAUAUAAGUUUAUUGGAAUGUUCUAAAUCAAGUAUAUUAUAAUACAAUUCAGAUUUUUAUCCUCAAUAAUAUUUGAGGGAUAUAAGUGUUAAAAAAAACUUAUAUUUUAACUGUGAUUAAAAAAAUAAAAAAAGACAUGGCUAGAGAGAGAUCUAGUAAAUGUAAACAGGUUCUAUUUGGUAUUUAACUAAUUUAUUUUUUAAGUUACAAUAGAUGUAAAAAAAAAAGGUUAUACCUAUAAAAUAAAAGUUAAUAAUGUAUAAUAAAUAUAAAUUUAAAAAAAAUAAUUUUGACAAAAAUAACGGUUAACUUUGGAAUGCCUCUUAUUUUUGUUAAGAAAACAAAAGAAAUUUCAUUAACCUACCCCCUUUUUUUCCUUAUCUUUUGAAUAAAAAUAAGAGUAACUUGAGAUUUUCAAAAGUGAAGAGAGUUGCUUGAAAAUUGUUAAUUUAUAACUGGAGUAAUCUAAAAUUUAGCCUAAAAAUAAUAAAUAUAUUAUAACUUUUUAAAUCACCUUAACCUCUUAGCUAUAAUACUAAUAGAAAGUGCUUACUGAAUACGUUAAUAUUGUAAAAUAAAAAUUAAAUCUAUUUAACCUCAAUACAAAAGAGGACCUAUUUUUCUUUCAUUUUAGAGCAACUUUUAUUUUCUCUCUCUACGUUUAAUGUCCACUUAUCUUCAAAAUUAUCAUUUCAUUAUGCUUUUACAGUUCUUUCUUUUGAUUUACUUUUUUUUUUUUCGAAAAGACAUCAUAAGAUACUAAGAUGAGGCAAAUUUGGCAUAUUCUGUAAUAUCUACGGGAAAAAAAGGCAUAUUCUGUGCCAAAUCGAAAAGACAUCAUAAGAUACUAAGAUGAGAUGAGGCAAAUUUGGCAUAUUCUGUAAUAUCUACGGGAAAAAAAGGCAUAUUCUGUGCCAAAUAUAGAAGAAAUACCAUUGCAGCACGGCCAGGUUGGUUGGUAGGUGAUUAUCGAGUCUGAGACGUCCACUGCUAGUGCCGGUGCUAGUUAAAUCCCUAAAAUACCCUUGCAGCAGCUACUCACGUUUGCGUCUAUCCC
rnacentral:lncRNA from 1 species